CAGAGGGCGCGAGCGUUGUCCGGAAUCACUGGGCGUAAAGGGCGCGUAGGUGGCCACUAUAAGGCCGCGGUGAAAGUUCGGGGCUCAACCCCGAAUCUGCCGCGGCGACUGUAGGGCUUGGGCACCGUAGAGGCAGAUGGAAUUCCGGGUGUAGCGGUGGAAUGCGUAGAGAUCCGGAAGAACACCGGUGGCGAAGGCGGUCUGCUGGGCGGUGAGUCGCAAGACUCAAUAGCCGACACUGAGGCGCGACAGCGUGGGGAGGCAAACAGGAUUAGAUACCCUGGUAGUCCACGCCGUAAACGAUGGGCACUAGGUGCUUUGGGGAGCGACCCUCAGGGUACCGGCGCUAACGCAUGAAGUGCCCCGCCUGGGGAGUACGGCCGCAAGGCUG
rnacentral:rRNA from 1 species